UAGGGAAUCUUCCGCAAUGGACGAAAGUCUGACGGAGCAACGCCGCGUGAGUGAUGAAGGUUUUCGGAUCGUAAAGCUCUGUUGUUAGGGAAGAACAAGUACCGUUCGAAUAGGGCGGUACCUUGACGGUACCUAACCAGAAAGCCACGGCUAACUACGUGCAAGCAGCCGCGGUAAUACGUAGGUGGCAAGCGUUGUCCGGAAUUAUUGGGCGUAAAGGGCUCGCAGGCGGUUUCUUAAGUAGGAGGUGAAAGCCCCCGGCUCAACCGGGGGGGGUCAUUGGAAACUGGGGAACUUGAGUGCAGAAGAGGAGAGUGGAAUUCCACGUGUAGCGGUGAAAUGCGUAGAGAUGUGGAGGAACACCAGUGGCGAAGGCGACUCUCUGGUCUGUAACUGACGCUGAGGAGCGAAAGCGUGGGGAGCGAACA
rnacentral:rRNA from 1 species